ensembl:lncRNA
GCCCAUGCAGCUGGGGCGCGUCCACCUAACCAUGGAGGAACGCGACCAGCGCCGACGGACGGGCGCUUGCAUGUAUUGUGGGAGGACGGGCCAUAUCCUCCUUCACUGUCCCCGGCGCCCGGGAAACGAACCGCUCCUUGCCCCUCUCCGCCCUCGUCGAUUCCGGAGCAGACGAGAGUUUUUGGACCGAAGGGUGGCUCGACAGCUGGGAGUAGACCUCAUCCCACUCGACGUGCCUAUGGAGACCAACGGCCAGGCGGAGCGGGCAAACCAGGAACUGGAGGGCAUGCUACGCUGCGUCACAGCCGCCAAUCCCGCUUCAUGGAGCCUUCAUCUUCCUUGGGUUGAGUACGCACACAACACGCACAGAAAUGACACUACCGGAAUGUCUCCCUUUCUCUGCUCCCUGGGCUACCAGCCCCCGCUGUUUCCCUCGCAGGAGGCAGAGAUUGCUGUUCCUUCAGUUCGGUCCCACAUCCUACGCUGCCAACGAACAUGGAACAAAGCUCGGGCUGCGCUGCUUCGGGCUUCCAC